CAGACCGGAUAUGUUGUUGCUUCUGGAGGAGCGGCUUCCGGCAGCUCUGUGAUGCUAGCUAGCGACUGAGCCACUGCCGCCUGUAAAUAACUAAACGCUAACCUAAACCAGCCCAAGUCAAAACAGUACACUUUUACCACAACGGUAAGCCAACCGAAAUUAGUAUACGCAUUAGCUAACGUCAGCUAACGUUAGAGUGGCAGUUACCUGACGUGCGUUAUCGUUAACUGGAGGUUAAGUUAUCUUUGUUUAACAGUUUUUAAUUUGGUAGGAAAAAAAAUACAUCAUAACUGGACAGCUUUCUGGUCUACUUGGCUAACUAACGUAGCUAUUGUUUCUCCUCUUGUUUCUGGCUUAGCCUCUUUAACCCUAACUAGUUGCAAGCUAACGUUACUGAAUUUGAAUUUGGCUCAAUUGGCAUUGAUUUUGCAGCUCGCGUCAGUUAGGUCAGUAAUAAGUUCACUUCACGACACCGUCAUCAGGAGCGAUCCUUCUUUGUCCACCCUGGCGUUUCCUUGUUUCGAUGGCCUAUAUCUACCAAAGCAAGAAAAUGAAUUCGUGCAUCAGGUUAUGGAUGAGCUGGAAGCAUACCAACAGAAGAGCAACCGCAAAAGUGUGCUCCUGUUCCCCCCUCUACCCAGCAGACUGCGAUACCUGAUCCACAAGACCAUAGAGGAUCUGCCAGAGCUCACCACCUUCUCCGUAGGGGAUAGCUGGUGUCGUAGGGUGGUGGUCUGCCAUUCUGAGCUCAGGGGUGAGAUAGGAGAGGAGGACAGUGACCUGGAGGGCAACAACAGCUUGUGUGAAGAACUCCCAAGAAGUAAGGUGGAGAUGGAGGGCAACGCCAAGCCUAAAUCUUUAAUCUCAUCACGAACCCGAGGGCCUAAGAGACCAGACAUGCCCCUUUACAUGCCAAGAGCUGCUCGGGAGAGACUGAACUUACAAAACUCACAAAGACCCUCAGGAGACCAAGAAUUGCCCAGUCCAGCAUCGAGUAGCUGCAGCUGCAUCAGCAGUUCAUCUGACUCUUGUUCCUGUUCUGAAACUACAGAAAACACAAAGCCCUCAUCCACAUUCAAGCAAGAAUCUCUCCCAAGUUCAGCUGAUGGUAUCUUCGACAGGUCGGUACUUUGUCCUCAGGAAAAGAAACAAAACUUGGUGUUAAGGCUGCAUGACGAUGAGCCCCUAGUCUGGGACCAGACUGUGACCUGCUUCACUGACAUGACCCUGGAGGGGGAUGUGAAGGAAGAGGAAGACCUUACUAGUGUGUCACGCAGCACCCACACAGAAGACACAAUCACAGACACUGAUGACUUAACUGAAGAGAUCAAGACACAUCUGAAAGAGGCAGUGACUGUUUCCAUUGAGCAUGUCCACAAUGACUACUCCAUUUAUGAGAAUGUGUGUAUCAACCCGAUUGAGUUUCGCCACGUGAUCGAGAUCUAUGACUUCCCAGCGAUGUUCAAAACAGAUGACCUCCUGGAUGCUUUUACUGACUACAGUGAUGGUGGAAUAAAGAUCAAAUGGGUGGACAACACACAUGCCCUGGGGGUUUUCUCUAGUGAGUCUGCAGUGUUUUCUGCGUCAUAUGCAGCACUCCAAGCCCUCUCCAUCUGCCACCCACUGCUGAAGGUACGUGCACUGGCUGAGGGGAGUAAAAAAGCCAAAGGCAAGGCCAUUAGACGGGCAGAGUUUAUCCAGCCAGUGAAGGAACGUCCGAGGACAGACUGUGCUGUUGCCAGGCGGAUGGUGACCAGAGCUUUAGGGAUACAGGGACGAGGACGGGUGCUGCGAUACUGAAGAGAACUGUUUACUGUUGGCAAAUACAGGUGAACAGACUAACAAAAGCCACAGAAAGGCCCAGCAGAUGUCUGCCACCAUUCAUCGGCCCUCUGUAGAAGCUUCAUGGUGGCUCCUAAUCGCUAGCUGAUCAUGACGAGUACGACUACUAUCUGACACGUUUGCCUCCUUCACUGAUUGCUACAGCAAGUUGGCACGCUGAAGAUGGAAACUGAUUGAGUCACUGCCCCACGUCACCAGCAUUCGCCCUGCUGAAGUAUCCCUGAGCAAAACGCUGAAUUACCACCAGCCUCACAGUUGCUGUUCUGUAGCUGAGCCUGACCCCUGAACUUUGGACAUUUUGUCGUGGUUUGCGUUGUUCACUGUUAAGAUCACUAAUAAUAAGGAAAUGACGUGUCAGUAUUAACAGUGGAGUUUGGAACAGUCAUGUGCAAAUGGUGAUUUCAGAUAGCUGAGGAAACAUUGGAGAAAACUGGAGAAGCUCUUGGCUUGUUUUGAUUUGAUUGCAUGUUGCCUUCAAACUGAAGUUUGUUUUGAGGAUGUUAUAUUUCUUGGGAAGGUGUUUUUUGUUUUGUCUUUGCCCAGGUAAUACAGGAUUGAUUGCAUACAUUUAUGUAAGUAAUAAUUCCUUAAACUUAAACUCAAAAUGUUCAUUUGUUUUAUAGAUUAUUCAUUCUCAGGACUUUGUUUAAGCAAUCGGUUUUGUUGUGCACUGCAGUUUACAGUUUUUUUUUUUUGUACAACUCCAACAGGAAAAAAAGGAAUAUAGGGAUUCCUUAUAGGAUUCCUUUUUUGGAGUUUUAAACCAUAACAGUGUCAGAUCUAUUUAAAGUAAAAAAUAAGAUAUUUAGGCACCCAGCUUAUACGACACACACACACAACACUGAUACACACAAGAAUAAAAGAAUAAAAACACAGCAGUGAAUGAUAGUCCAGCCACCAUGCAAGGUGAUUAAACUGAGAAAUACAGUUGUAGAAAAUAAAAAAUUUAGUAGCAAUGUUAUACCGGUCUCAACAGAGUUUUUGAGACCAGUAUUUUAUUGUUUUGUAAACAGGUUACAAGAGGUUCAUUUGUUCUUAAUAUUUUUCAUUAAGAACAUUUGUUCAUUUGUUCUUAAUAAUUUUUUGUCCCUCCAAAUAACACAAAACUAUCAUAAGGUUGUAGCCUCAGAGUUUAAGUUCUUUCGCACUCCACAUUACAGAAAACUAGAUAGUUUCAGAAAUUUGAACAGUGGAAACUUGAAUGUUAGGCCUUCUGUAUCUGUUACACUACUGUUAUUUUUAUGUAAUUUUGUCACUGACUUAAUACCAGUCUAACUUCUGUAAAGAGGGUGUCCACAAACACCAUAAAGUGAAAAUUGUAUAAGUUUGUAUUUAGAAAGAGAAGAUGUUCAUUAUUUUUUAUUUUUUGUCAUACAGAAAUGGGCUCUUUCCCUGGAAUUAUCUUUUGUGCCUGAUGUGAGAAUGACAGAACUUGUUCUAUGCAUUACUUACAGUAUGUUGCUAAUCUGUAGAAUUGAACUACAUCCAUUGAGUAAUUUCAGGGAAAAGAAGACUUGAUGGUAGCAUUAAAUGCUGCUCAAUCCCAUGAAAAUAUGAAAGCUGUACGUGUUUUUUAACUUAAUACACUGUAUAAAACAAGUUUCAAUGUUGUACAAUUUUAAAUUAAAGAUGUACAGUGUUAGGACUGUAA